rnacentral:rRNA from 1 species
GUCCACGCCGUAAACGAUGGAUACUAGCUGUUGGGAGCGAUCUCGGUGGCUAAGCGAAAGUGAUAAGUAUCCCACCUGGGGAGUACGUUCGCAAGAAUGAAACUCAAAGGAAUUGACGGGGGCCCGCACAAGCGGUGGAGCAUGUGGUUUAAUUCGAUGAUACGCGAGGAACCUUACCAAGGCUUAAAUGUAGAUUGACCGUUUUGGAAACAGAACUUUCGCAAGACAAUUUACAAGGUGCUGCAUGGUUGUCGU